rnacentral:rRNA from 1 species
AUUGAACGCUGGCGGCAGGCCUAAUACAUGCAAGUCGAACGGUAACAGUAGAAAAGCUUGCUUUUCUAGCUGACGAGUGGCGGACGGGUGAGUAACAUUUGGGAAACUACCUGAUAGAGGGGGACAACAGUUGGAAACGACUGCUAAUACCGCAUAAGCGCACGGUAUCGCAUGAUAUAGUGUGAAAAGAUUUAUCGGUGUAAGAUGGACCCGCGUCUGAUUAGAUAGUUGGUGAGGUAACGGCUCACCAAGUCGACGAUCAGUAGCCGGCCUGAGAGGGUGAACGGCCACAUUGGGACUGAGACACGGCCCAAACUCC